CUUUUUUUUCUCAAAGAUAUAUAUAGAAUUCAUUAAAAAUACAGGCUCCUGCUCAUGGCCUCAACAAACAAGAUUCCCAAACCCAACCCCAUAACAAUAGAAACCGUAAGCAUAGAAAGAAUCUAAACCCAAGAAGCCAUGACCCGGUGUAGCAAAACAUUCGGGUCAUGGCUACGACUAACUGAAUUACCGCUACGGGACUGUAUACGGCUGAAUAUGCCUGAACAGGAGAUCCCCCAUAAAACUACAACCCACGGGUGUCGGAAAAGCAAGUUUAAAACCGAAAAAACAAGAACAGAACCGACGUGGCUACUGCCAACAUCAAGAGCCUACUUUGGUGCAAAAGGUGGACGAGGAAGCAGCGCUCUAGAUAUUGGGUCAACGAGCACCAUCAAGCAUCGGUACAGACCCUGAGGUAACUUCUCCAAUCUUCACAGACAACCCACACUAUGAAAUAGCUCAAAACAGACCAACACCCCAACCACUCCUUGCAACAUCCCUGCAUGCAAUAGAUAUAAAACAAGGAGCAAAGAGAACUAAAAACCACCAGAGUUCCAACGGCCACAUCAAAACCCUCUUCAUGUCUAUGCCGAGCUGCGCUCCAAAAACCAAAACAAUAUUUACAAACCCACCAUAGGUGAAGAGGGAACCCAUGAACUAGGCAAGAGGAAGGACAGCCUUUCCCUGCCUGGAGGAGCAUAGGAAGACCACCUGGUGUGGCAGAAACAAGGGCCUUGGAACCCUAGAGAAGAAAAGAACAAAAAGCAGAGAACUGUUUUCUCUCUAAAAGGAGGAGGUGAGCCAAAUAAUAGCGUAUUCUAUAUUUAGGUGGCCUAAAACUAUUCUUCCAAAUUGGACAGAACAGAAUUUUCAUCUCUAUUUGCUAAAAGAUCCUACCAAUGAACAGCAGACACGACGACCAAAAACCAUCCUUGAUUCAGGUCAACCAAAAUGAAAGCAAUUGCUUUUUGUUUCAACUUGCAUAAAUCAAAUCAGUUAAUCUAAUUACCUCUAUACUCACAAAAUUGUUCAUACAUCAAAAAACUAUGCAAGUAGCAGAAAAAUUAGUAAAUCUCUUUAACAUUUCUACAAUACCAUGAAGUGUAGCAAGCAGCAUAAUUCAAGAUGAAAAGAAGGAAAAGCUCAAGCAGGAACUUCUUUCAUUAUUUCAAUAGAAGAACAACAUCACCAAAGGCAUUAGUUAAUCAUAUUACAUUUUUCAAUUCUUCCCUCUUCAGGGCAAACUACAGUAACAGGCUUGUCACAUUCACAGAAGAAAGUCCUACUGCUAAGCUUAUUGUUUCAUCAUCACAAAACACCAUAAAGAGUAACUGUGAAAAACAAUAAUAUAUUCACAGGGUGUUCGGUUUUUCUCUUCUCUUUUCUAUUGCAGAUGUUAAUAACUUCAAAUUCAAAAGGAGAUAAUGUGUUUCAUGGCAGCAGGAAAGGGAAAAAGAACAUAACAAUAGCUUUUGUGCCAUUUAUACCAACCAUCCCCAAACUCUGGGAUAAGAAAAUAUAAUUUAGAAAACCUACACCUCAUCUUACAGACAAAAUGGCUCCCCAGCAAGCCAGGGUGAGAGCAGCAAUUAGUUGGGCACAGGCUUUAGGAGAACAGAAGAGAAUCAACAGAAAAUAAGAAGCUUUGUACAAAGGAAAAUUUACAUAAAAUAGCUAAGCGCCUUCUUUCUUCUAGAGCCGCCUUCACCAUAAAGUUCAUUCCAUUGUAACAAUUCAGUCAUGUUAACAGACUCGGAUGAAACACUUGCACAUACCCGUUCAUGAGCAUAUUUGAAAUCAUCCAUGUUAAGAGGCCGGAUAUCAGCACUGCCACUUAAAGCUGGAGCAGGUUUACCUUCUGCUAGAGCUGUAGCACAUUCCUGUCAUUAAUUGAACAUAAUAUAUCAUAUUAGAUGAUAGAAAAUAAUCCAGUUGUUCAUUAUGUGUCAACCUCUGAACAACUUGCUAAUCGAGCCUCCCUUGAGCCAUUGGAGGAGGAAAGGGCCCAUGGAGAAGAAAAAGAAAAUCUCGUCUGAAAAAUAGCUCAAAAACCAAGUACUUGCAUACACCUAAGACAUAUUUUCAAUAGGCUGAUAGCAUUUAACCUUACAUCCUAGCAUGAUAUCCAGUCCUAAUAUUGUAUCUGAGCUGUACUCAACUACCAUCACAACUUGAACAUACGUAGAAGGUCAAAUUAUUGGUGGGCUGUGGGCAUCACAUUAAAAGCCAGUAAAACUAAAAGAUUGGGGGUUGAAAAAGAAGAAAAAGGAAGGAGAGGAGGGGGGGAGGGGUUGUGGAAAGAAACCAGGUAUGCUGAAAGGACAAGACAAAAGUUGAAUGUCAUAAAUAAUUUAAAGACAAACGCUCUUGCCAGAAACAAUGGUGAGACUGUUAGUACAAAAACCAACAUUCGACAUUCAUAACAUAAUUUCAAUAACCUUAUCAAUGUUUAAGUAAUUGUUGCCACUUCUUCUUUUUUUUUAAAAAAAAGGGCUCUUUAACAGCAAAGAAAAAAAAAUUACAACAUGCACCUUCUUUUCUUUUUCCAGUAUCUCUUUAAUUGGGUGAUGCGCAGCAGUUACACAUAGGUUCUGCAACAUAAAAAGUACAUAUGCAAGGGCAUUUGCUCAUUAACUUUGAUCUAGAAACUCAAAUAAAAGGGAAAAUAAAAAUAUUCCAUUGCAUGUCCACUUAUCAAAGAAAAUAAUGACAACAGAAACCUUAAGGUCACUUCCAGAAUAUCCAUCAGUCAUACUUGCAAUUGCAUCAAAAUCAACAUCAGGGGACAAAUCUUCCUUUGCCAAAACAACUUUCAGUAUCUUUGCUCUAUUUGGAGCAUCAGGCAGAUUUACCAUCAAUCUUCGUGGCAGCCUUCUAAUGACAGCCUCAUCAAGAUCAAAGGGCCUAUUUGUUGCUGCAAGUACAAGAACUCUUUCUGUAUCUUUGGUGCGUAGCCCAUCCCAAUUUACCAUAAACUCAUUUUUCAUCUUCCUCAUGGCUUCAUGCUCCCCUGGAUUUUCCCUCCUGCCCAACAUGCUGUCAACCUCAUCAACAAAGACAACACUAGGGACAAUUUUGCUGGCCAGGGAGAAGACAGCUUUCACAUACUUCUCACCCUCGCCAAACCAUUUAGAUGUGAUGCUUGACAUUGAAAUGUUGAUAAAAUUUGCACCAGCUUCUGUUGCCACAGCCUUUGCAAGCAUAGUCUUUCCAGUUCCAGGAGGUCCAAAUAAAAGUAUACCCUUGCAAGGCUUGGUUAAUUGCCCCUUGCAGAAAAGCUCAGGCCUCUGUAAAGGAAGCAUCACCAACUCCUUCAAAGUAUCCUUGACAUUCUCAAGAGCUCCAAUAUCAUCAAAUGUAACUCCAAUGUCGCUGGGCGGAAUAACAUCAGCCAAAAGCCUUUUCUCAAAUUCAUUUUCCGUUACAACAUCCUUAAGAGACUUCUUCAGGCUUUUAGAUUCAUUCUGGAUGGCCUGCAGGAUACCAAUACCAUACUGGAUGCUCUCACUGGACAAAAAAGGUCUUGCAUCAGCUUCAGCUUCAGGAUUCUGCAUUAGAUGAUUGCUCAGAGCCCACCCAAUUACCUUCUCUGCAUUUUCAUUUGUCAAUGUCUGGUCCUUAAUGCAUAAUGUCUCAAGUCCUUCACAUUCCAUCCCGCUCCGACUCAGAACCUAUAAUAUGAAAUGAUAAACAAUAACAACUGAAUCUUGGAAUGGCUUUAACCACACAACUACCACAAUUUGUCAUAGGUCAUGAUCCACAAAACUCAUAAGUAAAUAUUACAAAUGAGAAAGAACACUAGUUAACCCUUUUUUAAAAUGCACCAUAAAUAGCUAAUAAAAUGAUUUAGAAAGGAAGAAUAUGUUAUUCAUUUUACAUUUCAUGGACACCUAACAGCCCUUUUUUCCCCUUUUUAUCAGGUCCUUCAUCACAAUCAAGGCCUAUUUUUAUUACUGGAGAUGGAACUACAUUAGUGUCAACCCCAGCAAAAUUUCAAUUUCUACCAAUAUAUUUCACACGAGUAUAUGGUCCCACACCUUAAAUCUGGAAUUUUUCAUAUGGCCCUUAAAAUUUUGAAGUUUAAGGUUGGUCCCUUGAGAUCUGAAAUUUUCAUUCAACCCUUAAAAUCUCUCUGUUCUUUCAUUGACAAGAUUACUCUUUGCCCCUCAAAUCUUGAAGUUAUAGUUCUUUGACAGAAAUAGAGGCCUUCCACACUCAACCAAAAAAGGAUUUCAACCAGCUAUAAACCCAAAAUUCAAUGAAUUCCCAGGAUGACUGAUGUAGGACAAACUUUAUGCAGAAGAGACCAAUUGUAUAACACAAAUAGCAUAAACAUGACACCUUCAUCAAUUGAAAUCAUUCUAGUGUUGCUCAACCAAGUAAUAGCUCAACAACAACCACUUUCAGGUGAAACAGCAAAGAAUUAGCUAAUAUAGAUGAAGUUGGACAACACAGGAAAAAAGAACAUACAAAACUAGAAGUUCACAAAGUUGAAGCCAUUCCUCAAAGGCUUGGUAAUCCACCAUCUACCCAGUCUAAGAUGGCUAGAAGAAGCAAAUUUCUACUUUGCAUUUAUUGUGCGUGCUGAACAUUCAUGCAUCAAUAAAAAUGAUUUUAUUUUAUUUUAAGGACCAGUGAUGUCAGUCACCACAAUGUUUGAGUAGCAGAGAAAAACUGACAAGACAUGGACAGAGAAUAUACUCUAAGAAUUACACAUCAAAUUACCAACAGCCCCUCAUAUAUUUGUAUAAAAAAUAAAAUCUUUUAAGCCAUAAGCUACAUCAACCAAUAUAACAAUCCCACAUAAAAAAUAAAGAUGCUACAAAACCAACUGUAGGAAAGAGUUCUCACAGCACGCAGGUGAUUCAGAUUUCCCUUCAUUUUGAGGGUUUCAGAGUCUCGAUCCAAUUGGUGCUUCCAAGAUGCUAGAAGCACCUCAUCCUGCAAUGAUUUAUAACCUUCCAUAAUAUGUGAUACACCAAUACAGUAGUGAUAGUAGUACAGAAUCCAUCAUCAGACCUGUGGCAUGUGAAUGACUACUUUAUUAGGGAAAAGUUUAGUCAGAACUUUUGUUGCCUUUGGCACUUCUUUCCCUCUGUCAUUAAGUCUUCCAAAACUAUCCUGAGGAAACAAUAAGGCAACAAAUCACAUUAGAAGUUUAGAACAUCAACUACAAAUGCAUCAGUAACUGGAUAGCUUCUUAAUUCUUGAUUACAAUAUGCAGACACACAGAUAUACAUAAAAGUUUGCACUGUGCAUGUGUAGCGGGCUACAGAGAGAGAGGGAGAGAGAGUCUUUCAGCUUUGUCUUUUGCAACGCAUCUGAGAAACCUAAAGCACAUUGGAAUGAACAAGCCCUCUGCUCUACUUAAAAAUCAAGAAGAAGUUGAAAGGAACUCGGGCAUGGCUGAGAAAAGCACAAAAUUGCAGUCCAUUUGAAUUGCAUAAUAGCUUUCAUCAAUGCCAAAAAUUUAACAUGUUCUAGUAAACAUACAACUUUGAUAUUUAAGGAUUGUGCUGCAAAAAAAUUCCUAGAAGACAUGUAACUUGAGUUGGUCAAGUAGACCCUUUACAUUCUUUUACUAAAAAAAUCAACUGCUUUGGCUUUAAUAGAUGCUGUAAAGAUUACAGUACAAUAACAUUUAACACAUACAGUAAUGAGCAUUUGGGCCAAAACGAAAAAAUGGAAUUACUACAAUAGCUCAUGCAAAGAAACGCCUGCAAACUUUCAUUUUCUUCUUUUUACUACAUGAUAUCAGAGCAACGAGAAAAGAAAGAGUAGAAAUUUAAGAAAGCUCUCAUAUGAAUAUGAGACGACAAAAAUCUCUAUAAUAACCGUAAACCAAAAAAUAUUAUCGGGGGGAAGAAGGGGGGAGGGGCACAGAGAAAGAAUCACUACCGGAAAAGCCAAGUCAAGAAGAGCAGUUUGAUUGCUACCAAAUUUUGUGAAAAGAAGACCACCAGGAUGUGACUUUUCCUUACGAUUGUCAGUUUGUGUGUGUGAAGCAAUUGCUACCACAUUAUCAGGAAGCUUUUCAAGUCUGCUUUUAAAUGUUGAACAUGUAUCUGGAUUUCCUGCAAUUGAUUUCUCUGCAUCUUUCAUGAACAAAAUAAAAGGAGAAUUUCUGCUCUCAUUGUGUACAGCCUGAUAAAACAUGUAAUGAGAGGUUUAUAAGCAGCCAGCGAAAUGGAAAAACAACACAAAGCCAAAUCAGAAUAAAUCAGAUUAUCAACACUUGAGUAUCACUACCUCAAACAAUGUAUUGAUUAGUAACUUGUCUAAAUCUUCCACAUUAUCCAAACGAAGAUCAGUAACUAGAUAAAGAAAGUGAGAGAUAUCUUCAGUCAGUUGGAGAAAAGAAAAGUUUGGGCGAAAAAGUAAAGGAAUUUCUGAUCAGGUCAAAGCAUAUGAAAAUGCUCAUAGCCCUGUACAAAAUUACCGUUGCAAAAGUAUCCUUGACCUCCCUCACAAAGACCUCCAAGAUCAACCCCGUCAGAUACAGGUUUAUCAAACCUUACCCCAAUUUUUGAUAAAGGAUUAUCCUCAAAAACUAGUACAACCUUUCCACGAAUUCCAUUAGGUGGACCCCUACACAUUAAAUUAACAAAGAAUUAACAGAGUAAGUAUAUGCAGUGCCAAAGGGGCCAAAAUGACAAAGAUGAAGGCAAAUGGAAAAUUUUUCAAGCGCACCCCUUAUGAGGCGACAGCUCAAGAAAUAGCAGUAGGCUCUAAAUAUCUCCGGAAUAUGUUUUCUAUGUUUUGUUUCACAUUAGCAUUUGCAUCAGCACAAUUUGGCAGGUUUUGAAGUCCAGCUUUAUAACUAAAACUCAAUGACUUGAAAAACAAAAUCAUAUAAAUUCAUCAUCAUUUAUCUUCUCAAUUUUGUCAGUGGGCUACAUUUGGCAAACCAUAAAAUAUAAGUAAUUAGAUAAGUGAAUAAUACUUCAACACUAGAAGCCCUGCUUGAUGCUUCUCAUAUCCAAAAUAAUAUUCAAAUACAUCUCUCAUUUUGCUGGCUAUUAUUUCAAGUAUUCACAAAUAAAUAUAGUCCACUUUUUGUUUAUCCAGGCAGAGGCAAAUCCCCCUCUUCCCAUCACUUUCUAUCACCAUGAACAUAUUUAAUUCAGUCGCAACUAGCAAGUGAGUGACAUAUGAACUUCCUAUUUGAUUAAAAUAGAAGAAGGGGGUAAAAAAAACUCUCAAAAAAGCAUAUUACCUUCAAGAUGAAGUGGAAUUCUGCAACUGACAUGUUUAUGUUAAUAUGACGCCCAUUCCAGAUAAUGUAAGCCAAAUAAUUAUUUCUGCUUUUAGUUUACGAUUUAUGAGAAAUACAGAGCUUCAGCACUCAUUAUAAAUUAAUCAAAAAGAAGUUACUGACCCACCUAAAGAUCACAGCACUCAAGUUAACACCACAUAAACAAACACUAGAAGUUUAAAAAGUGAAUUGUGGACACUACUUGUACCUUGAUGAAGAUGCUGAUGGAUAUAAGCCACCAGAAAUAUAUCUUACUCUAUCACCUAGUUUAAAUAAAAGAUUCCUAGAUGCCCCAGAAGAAGGCGGUAAAGCAUCAACAUCCAUCUUUGGCUGAGAUUCCUGACCAAAGGAAGAAGGUGCAUUUGAAAAGCUGGUUGUAUCUGCUUCAGCACCUGAUGGAUUCACCCUUUUUGAUGAGUCUGUGACUAUAGGACUUUGUUUAGCACAGAUACAGGAUUUUUCUGCAUUAAAUCCGUCCUUCAAAAACUCAGCUUCCUUUGAAGACAGACCACCCAGAAAAGAAUGGCUAUCAAAUAUGAGUAAUUUAGCACCAAAGUAGUUAGCAAGGGCCUUUGCCAACAUCUCCUGAUAUAUCUCGGAACCUGCAGGACCAGAAAGCAAAAUCCGUGGAUUAACGGUGGUCAGUUCUGCAGUAUACUUCACAUGUUCUUUGUGCCUCAGGUGUAUAAAUGAAGCUGCAAUCAGUACAUUUUUUGUGUUCUCACUUAAAUAAUAAGGAAAAUCAUCAAAUGAAACUUUUAUUUUUUCCCCAUCAAGAAUUCCAGCAUGAAUGUCUUCUUUGAAUACUGCACACCGCAACGACACACCAGAGGUUGAUGCCAGCUGCGAAUCCCUUGCCCACUCGUCCCUUUCUUCCAAUACAUUGCCUGCCUCUGUGCCAGAGUCCUGGUUGCAAUCAUGCGGAAGAUCCUUGCCAACUGCUCCAAUAUCUGCAGCUUUAUCACUCCCUGCAUUUGGAGUUGAAUUGAUUUCCAAGCCGUCAAGCUCUACUUCUGUACCAUCAUGGACAACAGAAUGGGCAGGCAUCUCAGUCCCUUGGUGGAUUUUACCAGUAUUCUGAUCUGGAGACUUAUAACGCGGUAUAUCUUGCCUCAGGCUUGAAAGAGAUGCCAAUAUUGAUGCCCCAGCAACAGCUGAAGGAUCUCCUGACCUCCUUUCAAGUUGCAAAAGUUUUCCUAUACUGCUCUGGACCUCUGCUCCCUUAACAGCAACAUCAGUUAUGACUUGCUGAAAAAUAUAGGCAUGGUUCCCCAUCAAACCAAAAACCACCUCAUCUCCUGAGUGGAGCGUACGACCAGUGUUCUUCUUGACUGCUACACCAUUUACUUGCACUGAUCCCUUGGUUCCCGUACUUUCUAGAACAGCUACAGCACUUCCCUCGCGCUGCGUAUGUUUGAUCUUGCACAGAAUUCCACUCUGAUCCUUCAGCGGGAAAUUGCAAUUCUUGUUUGAACCAAUAGUGUAACUGUAUGGAUAAAUGAGUACAUUCGGAUUCUGUGCAGACUCUGACAAAAGUUUACACCACGGAGUUGAUGUCUCAAAAGCUGUAUUCUGCUUAUACAAGCUCCAAGACGAAAAAGAACUCCUCGGCUUAUCCACUACAAGCGGUGUAGAACCCUCGGCGAUCGGCGUGACCACAGCCACCGCCGGAGCCACCUCACCCUUCCCUGAACUCACAGCCUCUCCAGCAGCGUCUCCAGCAAUAGGAACAUCACCAGUCCCACAUUCUGCAGGAUUCGCGGCGGCAGGGGGACAGAAUUCCUUUGAAUUCUCCGCCGCCGGCAUCGGUUUCUCUGCAGUCCCACCAUUUUCACCCUUUGGACGCUUUGGCGAAGGAGGCUUGUCCUCCGACGACGAAGAUCUCUUGAUAUUAUUGUUUCCAGCGAGAGAUCCACUUCUUCUCGUUGAAACCAUGACUCUGGUUUCGUUUUUUGUUUUGUUUGUUUUGUUUCUCUCUCUCUCCCCCUUCCGUCUCUCUGUU
rnacentral:misc_RNA from 1 species